rnacentral:rRNA from 1 species
UACGGGGGGAGCAAGCGUUGUUCGGAUUUACUGGGCGUAAAGGGCGCGUAGGCGGCCUCUGCAAGUCGACUGUGAAAUCUCCGGGCUUAACCCGGAAAGGUCAGCCGAUACUGCGGGGCUAGAGUGCAGAAGGGGCAACUGGAAUUCUCGGUGUAGCGGUGAAAUGCGUAGAUAUCGAGAGGAACACCUGCGGCGAAGGCGGGUUGCUGGGCUGACACUGACGCUGAUGCGCGAAAGCUAGGGGGGCGAACGGG